rnacentral:lncRNA from 10 species
CAGGAGUAGAAAUAUGAGCAUGACCAGCAAAUAAUUCAUAUUUAAGGUCAGGAGACUAACAAGACACAGCUAACAAAUGAUGGAGCUGGGAUUAGGAUUUGGUUAAGUCUAAGCAAAGGUGUGAAUGCAGUCUAGAAUGAGUGGAUAUGAAAAAGCAAGGCUAAUGUAUAAUGGUAAAGCCAUUUAACCUUCUUGGCUGGAAGGCUAGUCAAGGAAGGGUUAUGUAGCUAAAAUUGCAAUGAGAAGUUCACAGCCAUUAGGAAAGUAGAGUAAUUUCUUACAUGCAAUUUCAUUUUUACUGGAUCAGGGAAAUAUUUGGAGUUAAAUAUGAAGUGGGACCAGCUGAAAAUAGUAGGUUAGAAAAUAGUACUUCAGUGGACUCCAAGCACAAAGAGGGCCAGAUGUUAUCUGGGUCUCAAAUGCAUCUUAGAAGAUACGUUAUUUGAUGUUUGCUUCUCUUACGAAGAACUAAGUCUGAUAGAACAAUGAAGGUUAAGUCCAACCCUGCUGGACCUGGUAUACAUUUUGAGUAGCAAGACAAUAUGUACACUCAACACAGCUCUCUGCUGCUGCUACUAGAGAAUACCUUUCUCUGUGCUACCUGUGAUGGGGUCUCUUUCCGUUACCCAGGCUGGAGUGCAGUGGCACAUUCAUGGCUCACUGCAGCCUCAAGAAAUCUUCCCACCACAACCUUUUGAACAGCUGGCACCACAAGUGUGCACCAGCACACCUGGCUAAUUUUUUAUUGUCCUUUUUUGGUUUGUAGAGACAGGGUCUCACUAUGUUGCCCAGGCUUGUCUGGAACUCCUGGGCUCAAGUGAUCCUCCCACCUUGGCCUCCCAAAGUGCAGAGAUUACAGAUGUGAGCCACUGUGCGCAUCCAGCUCCAGCAGUUAAAUUACUUAUGUAUCAACAUACAGUUGUGUCUAUGUCCAUUCGUUAUUAUGUCAUUGUAAAUACACAAGCAAGUAAAAUGCAAGUGUAAAUGAGUUAUUUGUUGACAAAACUAAAGUUGAGUGUUUGAGGAAGUAUACAUAAAGUUGAUAGCCUAAGAGGCUGCUAUAAAAUCAAGUGUGGGAAAGACAUCUAAGAAGAUUUAGAGGGGUAUCAUAAAAUCUGGAAUAAUAAUAAUAAAGUUUGCUUUACAAUUCCCUUUAAAUU